AACGAACGCUGGCGGCAGGCCUAACACAUGCAAGUCGAACGCUCGUAGCAAUACGAGAGUGGCAGACGGGUGAGUAACACGUGGGAACCUUCCCUUCGGUCGGGAAUAGCUCAGGGAAACUUGAGGUAAUACCGGAUACGCCUUACGGGAAGAUUAUCGCCGAAGGAUGGGCCCGCGUCGGAUUAGCUAGUUGGUGAGGUAACGGCUCACCAAGGCGACGAUCCGUAGCUGGUCUGAGAGGAUGAUCAGCCACACUGGGACUGAGACACGGCCCAGACUCCUACGGGAGGCAGCAGUGGGGAAUAUUGGACAAUGGGCGCAAGCCUGAUCAGCCAUGCCGCGUGAGUGACGAAGGCCUUAGG
rnacentral:rRNA from 1 species